rnacentral:rRNA from 1 species
AUUGAACGCUGGCGGCAGGCCUAACACAUGCAAGUCGAACGAGUGGCGGACGGGUGAGUAAUGUCUGGGAAACUGCCUGCUGGAGGGGGAUAACUACUGGAAACGGUAGCUAAUACCGCAUACCCUCGGAUGUGCCCAGAUGGGAUUAGCUAGUGGUUGGGGUAAAGGCUCACCUAGGCGACGAUCCCUAGCUGGUCUGAGAGGAUGGCCAGCCACACUGGAACUGAAACGCGGUCCGGACUCCUACGGGAGGCAGCAGUGGAGUAUGUUGCACAAGGGGCGCAAGCCUGAUGCAGCCAUGCCGCGUGGAUGAAGAAAGCAUUCGGGUUGUAAAGUACUUCCAGCGGGGAGUCGUUACCCUCAGAAGAAGCACCGGCUAACUCCGUGCCAGCAGCCGCGGUAAUUC